ensembl:ncRNA asRNA:CR44147 antisense RNA:CR44147
UAGGAUGUGGGAUCGCUCUCGACUGUCCUCAGCCACGUACUCGCAGCAGCAGAGACUCCCGUUCUCCUUACUCUUGGACUCCUCAGCCUCUGAUCUCCAGGCUGCAGAAAGAAAAUUGGAGGUGCCGGCUGUCAUCAAGAACAUCGAUUUGGACAGGAAAUGGCGCGGCGAACGUUUUUUAAUGAGUUCCGAGCAGCGUGUACGGAAACAGUUUAGAUUAGAUUAGUGCACGCCCUACUGGCCGAGUGGAGAAAUGUUUCAAAAGUAAUUAUCAGAUCCGGGUGGGUCCAUUUUAAUUGUUUUAUUGGAGUACAACGAAUUUGCUUACAAUUUCUCCGGAAUAACGACAACUACAACAACACAGCUGACGAACGUCCCUCCCUUACAGGGUGCCCCGUGUAAAGUGGGCUGCCAACUUGUUUUAUGCUACCGCUAUGUUUUGAACUUAGAUCUCUUAUCAUUAUUACAAAGUUUAAGAAUUGUGUUAUAAAU